rnacentral:rRNA from 1 species
CCUACGGGAGGCAGCAGUCGGGAAUUUUGCUCAAUGGGCGCAAGCCUGAAGCAGCAACGCCGCGUGAGGGAUGAAGGCCUUCGGGUCGUAAACCUCUUUUGCCGGGGACGAUGAUGACGGUACCCGGUGAAUAAGCCACGGCUAACUACGUGCCAGCAGCCGCGGUAAU